UACAGAGGUCUCAAGCGUUGUUCGGAUUCAUUGGGCGUAAAGGGUGCGUAGGCGGCGCGGUAAGUCGGGUGUGAAAUCUCGGAGCUUAACUCCGAAACUGCAUUCGAUACUGCCGUGCUUGAGGACUGGAGAGGAGACUGGAAUUUACGGUGUAGCGGUGAAAUGCGUAGAUAUCGUAAGGAAGACCAGUGGCGAAGGCGAAUCUCUGGACAGUUACUGACACUGAGGCAGCGAAGGC
rnacentral:rRNA from 1 species